AUUUUCUUGUGUUCUUCUCUUACUUACACCACCCACCUUAACUCUUUCUUGUCAGGAGUAUAUAAGAAAAAGAAAGAAAGCAAAACUCACCCUCCAGGAAGAAAAGGAUUUUUCCUCUGUAUAUAAUUUCUUUUGUGCAUUGCUAUGCAAGCUCACUCUUUUUAACUCUGUUCAUAUUAUUGUCUGUUCUGAUUGGUCUGUUGUACUAUAUGUGAAUUAAUGGGCUGUGGUGCCAUAUAUUAACUUUUAAUUGUGUAACUUUUUAUGUUUAAAUUUUGCACUGCGAUUUUAUUUGGUGAUAAGCACAAAUCUCUACUCCUCAUGACAUGAAGAAAAGAUUGAAUGUGAAGGGAGUUUUCUGUACUGUAAGUUAGGUUGGAUAAUGCUGGUGUAACCAAUCCAGUUAGAUGGUUUUCAGUUGGGGGUGUAGAAAUAGGAAGAUCGAAGGAAUGAUGGUGUUGGCAAAGUCUUCUUGAAACAACAGAUAUUGAGACAAUUUUAAGAAGCAGAAAGAUGGAUACUAUUGACUAAAGCAGGGGUCAAAAGAAGGGGGUUUAAGUCUAGACAGAGUAUGUAAUAAAGUAUGGUGGUAGCAAAGAUGUACUAACUUGCUUUAAAAAUAUUAUUAAAGUUUUAUUUAGAAUGAACUUUACCUGCCAUUGUAAUUAACCCAUCUUAGAAUUACAAUGAGCAAAAUAAAAAUCAAGGUGUUUCAAGAGAUCUGUAUUUAUAUUACAGCUUUUUAAAAACAGCAGUUUUGAAUAAUCAUAAUUAAUCUCUCCAACUCAUUAAGUCAGACUAUAACAUGGAGUUCCCCAAGGAAAC
rnacentral:lncRNA from 1 species